rnacentral:misc_RNA from 1 species
GUUAAUCCUUUCUGGGUUUCUUUCUGUACUUGAUCCAUCAAUUUGUUUGUGAAAUGGUAAUUGAAAAGUGAAUUUCUUGUCUAAUUUGAUUAAUCAUUUAGGAUUUACCCUCAAAUGUACCUGCGAAUAGUGACUUGAUGGAAAUUUUUGUAUAUUUGUCACUGAUUUUGCUGCCGUCAGUAUCAUCCUGGUUAACUGGGCUUUAUGCGAUUUGCCUUGAAAAAAGUAACUCGAUAUGUUUAUGGAUGUUGAGAUUAUGAUUCAUUAAUCACCUUAUAAUCCAACAGAUAAUCUAUUCUAGCAUAUGUGUGGUUUGGGAAUGGUCGUGCAGGUGGCUUAAUUGAGCAAUUCAUUUAAUUGCAUGGAAAAAUUUUGUUGUCGUAGUUGAGUUGGAGUGAGAUCGACAUGGAGUUACAUUUUAUCUUGGAAGUGCUUACACACAAGUUGCAGAUGUCAAAUUGUCUUAAGUGAUUUGAGACUGUUAUAAACUUGGGUUUGGGAUAGCGUCCAAGGGCGCCGAGAAAUCUGCAAAUGAAGAGCUGCUGGAUUGAGGUUUUGUGGUUGCAACCCUUUGGAAGAAGUUAAGCUUUCAUUAGAGAGAAGCCUCCAAUAUGAGUAUUUACCAAACUCAAUCUUGGAAUGAACUUAGCUGCCUUUCAUUGAUUUCAACUAGCUUUUUAAAUAAAAAAUAUAAAAAAGGAUUCUCUGAAGUUUAAAUCACUCUAGUUUAUUUGCAGCAGCAAAAAUUUAAAAUUUAAAGCUCAAAUAGCUGCACUAAUCCAGCUUUUUUCCCCUAUGUGAAUGGUGCCUGUAAAUCUUCUCUGGGGAUCCAUCUAAACUGAAUAGCUCCUGAUACUGUUGCUCAGAGAGCUGCUUCUUUGUACUCAGCGUUUAUGAUCAAAGAUAGUAGUAGGAUGUUUUCAUGUGCUAGUGACCUAUUCUUGAGCUUUGAUACUUCCCUUUAUGUUGCAAAUUUACAUAGUUUUCAAGUAUUCUUAGGUCUUUCUUUGCUUUUUAAGCCUUGUUCUGAUGAGUGCUCCAUCUUGUGCACUCUGUGUAUUUAGCUACAUCCAUGUUGGAAAUUAAUUUUUGCAAUUAAUUGCUGGUAAAGAAAACCUUUUGGUGAUGACCAUUCUUUAUAGGAAUGAAAAGCAAUCAUAGGUACAUUUCCGGCAGAGCCCAACGCAGGAAGGUGGCAAUCCUAUCCUUAAUUCCUUAUUGCCUUGUAAGGUCUUAUCUCCUUAUGCUAAUUUAUAUGAAUAGCACGAGGUCAGUGGCAAUAUCGUGUCUGGAAAUCCCAUGCUUAUGAAAGAAGAGACAUUGAAUGGAAUCAUUUGUUUACUGUCGAUGGGAGGUUUUCUGCUUGCAAUUGUGAAAUGCAGUCUUUUGACUGACAGAAUUGUGAGUUUAUUUCAGACACUUGCUCUCCCCUAUACCAUAUGGUGAAGCUUAAUGGCCAGUUUAACAAGUUCUGUAAAGUACUGGCUAUGACAUACAUAUGGAAAUUUCAGAAAAUAACUUCAUGCUUUUUUCCCCCCUAAUUUUUAAUUUUUGAAAUGCUCAAAGUAUUAAUGAUUGGUUUUCCUGCAGGUUCGUGGUCCAACUUGUGCUCGAAGGUUUGCUAAUUAUCUGGAAGAGAUGAAAGAGGAUACAGAAAUAAAAAACAUCUUGGUCUUGGAACGUGGCUUCAACGGCUGGGAAGCAGCUGGUAAGCCUGUUUGUCAUUGUACCAGUACCCCGUGCACGGCUGAGAGUGCACAGUAAUUGUUCAAAAGACAUCCUCUCUUAGGAGGAAAUAUACCCACCUAUAUAAACUGGCUGUUAGAGAUUUCUAUUGACUGUUUAAUGUAUUUUCCAUGUAUCCAAUAGUCUACAGUGGCUUUUGGAAUGUUAGGAAGAGACAAAAGUUUCCCCAUUUCCCUUUCCUUAUUCAUCUCUCCUUUCCUCUAUAGGUCCACUCUUUCAUAGUCCUGUUUUCUGAAUGACUCCAGUUCAGCCAUAAAUGCG